GCUCCAGUGGCCUAGUGGUUAGAGCGUCCGACUCAGAUGCAGGAGGUCGCAAGUUCGAAUCUGGCUGAGUCA